rnacentral:rRNA from 1 species
GAUGAACGCUGGCGGCGUGCUUAACACAUGCAAGUCGAACGAAACACCUUAUUUGAUUUUCUUCGGAACUGAUGAUGUGGUGAUUGAGUGGCGGACGGGCGAGUAAAGCGUGGGUAACCUGCCCUGUACAGGGGGAUAACAGUCAGAAAUGACUGCUAAUACCGCAUAAUACCACAGCACCGCAUGGUGCAGGGGUAAAAACUCCGGUGGUACAGGAUGGACCCGCGUCGGAUUAGCUGGUUGGUGAGGUAACGGCUCACCAAGGCGACGAUCAGUAGCCGGCUUGAGAGAGUGAACAGCCACAUUGGGACUGAGACACGGCCCAAACUCCUACGGGAAGCAGCAGUGGGGAAUAUUGCACAAUGGGGGAAACCCUGAUGCAGCGACGCCGCGUGAGUGAAGAAGUAUUUCGGUAUGUAAAGCUCUAUCAGCAGGGAAGAAAAUGACGGUACCUGAAUAAGAAGCCCCGGCUAACUACGUG